AGUGAACGCUGGCGGUAGGCCUAACACAUGCAAGUCGAACGGCAGCACAGUAAGAGCUUGCUCUUACGGGUGGCGAGUGGCGGACGGGUGAGGAAUACAUCGGAAUCUACUUUUUCGUGGGGGAUAACGUAGGGAAACUUACGCUAAUACCGCAUACGACCUACGGGUGAAAGCAGGGGAUCUUCGGACCUUGCGCGAUUGAAUGAGCCGAUGUCGGAUUAGCUAGUUGGCGGGGUAAAGGCCCGCCAAGGCGACGAUGCGUAGCUGGUCUGAGAGGAUGAUCAGCCACACUGGAACUGAGACACGGUCCAGACUCCUACGGGAGGCAGCAGUGGGGAAUAUUGGACAAUGGGCGCAAGCCUGAUCCAGCCAUACCGCGUGGGUGAAGAAGGCCUUCGGGUUGUAAAGCCCUUUUGUUGGGAAAGAAAAGCAGCAGGUUAAUACCCCGCUGUUCUGACGGUACCCAAAGAAUAAGCACCGGCUAACUUCGUG
rnacentral:rRNA from 1 species